UACGUAGGGCGCAAGCGUUAUCCGGAAUUAUUGGGCGUAAAGAGCUCGUAGGCGGUUUGUCGCGUCUGCCGUGAAAGUCCGGGGCUCAACUCCGGAUCUGCGGUGGGUACGGGCAGACUAGAGUGAUGUAGGGGAGACUGGAAUUCCUGGUGUAGCGGUGAAAUGCGCAGAUAUCAGGAGGAACACCGAUGGCGAAGGCAGGUCUCUGGGCAUUAACUGACGCUGAGGAGCGAAAGCAUGGGGAGCGAACAAG
rnacentral:rRNA from 1 species